rnacentral:rRNA from 1 species
AUACGAAGGGGGCUAGCGUUGUUCGGAAUCACUGGGCGUAAAGCGCGCGUAGGUGGAUCAAUUAGUUGAGGGUGAAAUCCCGGGGCUCAACCUCGGAACUGCCUUCAAUACUAUUGAUCUUGAGACCGAGAGAGGUGAGUGGAAUUCCUAGUGUAGAGGUGAAAUUUGUAGAUAUUAGGAAGAACACCAGUGGCGAAGGCGGCUCACUGGCUCGGUACUGACGCUGAGGCGCGAAAGCGUGGGGAGCAAACAGGAUUAGAAACCCUAGUAGUCC